GACGAACGCUGGCGGCGUGCCUAAUACAUGCAAGUUGAGCGCUGAAGGUUGGUACUUGUACCAACUGGAUGAGCAGCGAACGGGUGAGUAACGCGUGGGGAAUCUGCCUUUGAGCGGGGGACAACAUUUGGAAACGAAUGCUAAUACUGCAUAAAAACUUUAAACACAAGUUUUAAGUUUGAAAGAUGCAAUUGCAUCACUCAAAGAUGAUCCCGCGUUGUAUUAGCUAGUUGGUGAGGUAAAGGCUCACCAAGGCGAUGAUACAUAGCCGACCUGAGGGGGUGAUCGGCCACAUUGGGACUGAGACACGGCCCAAACUCCUACGGGAGGCAGCAGUAGGGAAUCUUCGGCAAUGGACGAAAGUCUGACCGAGCAACGCCGCGUGAGUGAAGAAGGGUUUCGGAUCGUAAAACUCUGUUGGUAGAGAAGAACGUUGGUGAGAGUGGAAAGCUCAUCAAGUGACGGUAACUACCCAGAAAGGGACGGCUAACUACGUG
rnacentral:rRNA from 1 species